rnacentral:snRNA from 1 species
AUCGCUUCUCGGCCUUUUGGCUAAGAUCAAGUGUAGUAACAGGGCCAACUAUCAACAGUACAGCGAUUGAAAUUUCUUUUGAGAGCCAAAUUUUUAAACUUAAACUAUAUAGGUAGGUACAUUGUUAUUCACUUAAUUAGGGUACUCCUA